rnacentral:rRNA from 1 species
UACGAAGGGGGCUAGCGUUGCUCGGAAUCACUGGGCGUAAAGCGCACGUAGGCGGGUCCUUAAGUCAGGGGUGAAAUCCCGGAGCUCAACUCCGGAACUGCCUUUGAUACUGGGGAUCUUGAGUCCGGAAGAGGUGAGUGGAACUCCGAGUGUAGAGGUGAAAUUCGUAGAUAUUCGGAAGAACACCAGUGGCGAAGGCGGCUCACUGGUCCGGUACUGACGCUGAGGCGCGAAGGCGUGGGGAGCGAACGGG